GAUAACAGAUAUUUCUAUGGAGGUUGAUGCCAUUGGACUCUUUUCCUUCAGAUUCCCCUUUUGUUGAUGAUCUAAUUAAAAACACUAUUUUUUAUCCUUAUACUGAUUCCUCAUCAAAGAUUAUGAGAGGUAAUUUCGCGAGAGGUGGUAUGACAUCUCGCCAAACGAUCUUUUCUGGAUUAAAUAGCUCAAUGAAUAUUGCAAGUGUGAGGUCUUCAAUGCUGGCAAGCACACGCCCAACAUCAUCAAGGUCAUCUACCCCUACAAGGUCUAGAUUGUCUGCCUCAUUACGACCUUCAACAUAUGUUCCACAUUCUGAAAUUCCAGCUUCAUAAAGGUCGUCAACCCCAAAUUAGUUACACUAGCUACAGUUUCAGCAUCAUCAUCAAGGUUGUCAACUCCCACUACAUGAUCUACAUUACGACCUUCAACAUCUAUUCCACAUUCUAAAGUUCCAGUUUCAUAAAGGUCAUCGACCCCAAAUUAGUUACAUGAGCUACAGUUUCAGCAUCAUCAUCAAGGUUGUCAACUCCCACUACAUGAUCUACAAAUCCAAAGGUAUACAGCACCUACACCAAGGUCCAAAGGUAUACAGCACCUACACCAAGGUAUCAUCUAUAUGCUCAUGUUGGCAUCUAACUAUAGCUUUAUCAUUAUCUCGAAAACUAUAAUUAAAAUCUUCUUUAAUAUAAUUGAUGUUUACCUAAUCUUCUUUAAUAUAAUUGAUGUUCAGCUAUUAAUAAA